rnacentral:lncRNA from 1 species
CCUCCCACCUUGGCCUCCCAAAGUGCUGGGAUUACAGGCAUGAGCCACCAUGCCCAGCCAACUUUCUUUUUUUAAACUAAAGAUGUCAGGCAGGCCAUAGCUCAGCUUUAGGUGGCCCCCCUCUGACACUCACGGUCUCUUUUUGCUGAUUACCCACAAUAGUGGAGGAAGAUCCACAUAUAAAGUCAAAAGUCUAGGUUAAAAUCCCACAUCAGCCACUGAUGAACUGUGCAAGCUUGGAAAAAUCAUUUCACCUCUGUGAAUUGUGGUUUUGCCAUCUGCAGAGCUGAAUGUUAACCAUAGCCCAAGAUACUAAGUAUUAUAGGAUUGAAAUGAAAUAUAAAUGAAACUUUGUAAAUGUUAAAUUAUAACACAAAUCAUAUGGUCAGUGUCGAUGUCCUAAUUGUUCCUAACUCCUCAUCACACUCUCCUACUUCUUCAUUGUGGCUGCCAUCCUGAUAUCCGCUCUGCAGAGGGGAGGCACAAGGCUUUUCCCACCUGCUCCUUCCACCUGGUUUAAUUCUCCUCCAGCACAAUGAACAAGCCUCACCUAUUUGUGCCCCAGCUCCAUCUUCUCUUAUGAGAGGGGCAAGGUAGUGUCUACGGUUUACACAUGCAUCACUCCUGUGCCAAACCCCUUGAUCUGCAGCAUGAGGAAGAAGGAACUCAAGCAUGCUCUUAAAAAAAAAGAAGAAAUUGCAAGGUUCUUGCUGCUCAGAACACAU